UAGGGAAUCUUCCGCAAUGGGCGAAAGCCUGACGGAGCAACGCCGCGUGAGUGAUGAAGGUCUUCGGAUCGUAAAACUCUGUUAUUAGGGAAGAACAAAUGUGUAAGUAACUAUGCACGUCUUGACGGUACCUAAUCAGAAAGCCACGGCUAACUACGUGCCAGCAGCCGCGGUAAUACGUAGGUGGCAAGCGUUAUCCGGAAUUAUUGGGCGUAAAGCGCGCGUAGGCGGUUUUUUAAGUCUGAUGUGAAAGCCCACGGCUCAACCGUGGAAGGUCAUUGGAAACUGGAAAGCUUGAGUGCAGGAGAGGAAAGUGGAAUUCCAUGUGUAGCAGUGAAAUGCGCAGAGAUAUGGAGGAACACCAGUGGCGAAGGCGACUUUCUGGUCUGUAACUGACGCUGAUGUGCGAAAGCGUGGGGAUCAAACAGG
rnacentral:rRNA from 1 species